rnacentral:rRNA from 1 species
CACGUAGGGGCAAGCGUUGUCCGGAUUUAUUGGGCGUAAAGAGCGUGUAGGCGGCCAGGUAGGUCUGGUGUGAAAACUCGAGGCUUAACCUCGAGAUGUCAUCGGAAACCAUCUGGCUAGAGUCCGGAAGAGGAGAGUGGAAUUCCUGGUGUAGCGGUGAAAUGCGCAGAUAUCAGGAAGAACACCAAUGGCGAAAGCAGCUCUCUGGGACGGUACUGACGCUGAGACGCGAAAGCGUGGGGAGCGAACAGG